CCUACGGGAGGCAGCAGUGGGGAAUUUUGGACAAUGGGCGAAAGCCUGAUCCAGCCAUGCCGCGUGCAGGAUGAAGGCCUUCGGGUUGUAAACUGCUUUUGUACGGAACGAAAAGACUCUGGUUAAUACCUGGGGUCCAUGACGGUACCGUAAGAAUAAGCACCGGCUAACUACGUGCCAGCAGCCGCGGUAAUACGUAGGGUGCAAGCGUUAAUCGGAAUUACUGGGCGUAAAGCGUGCGCAGGCGGUUAUAUAAGACAGAUGUGAAAUCCCCGGGCUCAACCUGGGAACUGCAUUUGUGACUGUAUAGCUAGAGUACGGUAGAGGGGGAUGGAAUUCCGCGUGUAGCAGUGAAAUGCGUAGAUAUGCGGAGGAACACCGAUGGCGAAGGCAAUCCCCUGGACCUGUACUGACGCUCAUGCACGAAAGCGUGGGGAGCAAACAGGAUUAGAUACCCUGGUAGUCCACGCCCUAAACGAUGUCAACUGGUUGUUGGGUCUUCACUGACUCAGUAACGAAGCUAACGCGUGAAGUUGACCGCCUGGGGAGUACGGCCGCAAGGUUGAAACUCAAAUGAAAUUGACGG
rnacentral:rRNA from 1 species